GACGAACGCUGGCGGCGUGCUUAACACAUGCAAGUCGAACGAUGAAGCUGGAGCUUGCUCCGGUGGAUUAGUGGCGAACGGGUGAGUAACACGUGAGCAAUCUGCCCUUGACUCUGGGAUAACUGCGGGAAACUGUAGCUAAUACCGGAUACUUUCACUGGAAGGCAUCUUCUGGUGAAGAAAGAAUUUCGGUCAAGGAUGAGCUCGCGGCCUAUCAGCUUGUUGGUGAGGUAACGGCUCACCAAGGCGACGACGGGUAGCCGGCCUGAGAGGGUGAGCGGCCACACUGGGACUGAGACACGGGCCAGACUCCUACGGGGGGCAGCAGGGGGGAAUCUUGCACAAUGGGCGCAAGCCUGAUGCAGCAACGCCGCGUGAGGGAUGAAGGCCUUCGGGUUGUAAACCUCUUUUAGCAGGGAAGAAGCGAAAGUGACGGUACCUGCAGAAAAAGCACCGGCUAACUACGUGCCAGCCGCCGCGGUAA
rnacentral:rRNA from 1 species